GUACUGGCUUUACUGAUUCCUCCUUCUUGACGAACCGUGAUGUCAUUAAUUAGGUGUUGCGGGAAAUCAGGACUGUUACUUUGAAAAAAUUAGAGUGUUUAAAGCAGGCUAACGCUUGAAUACAUUAGCAUGGAAUAAUGAAAUAGGACGUAAUCCUAUUUUGUUGGUUUCUAGGAUCGACGUAAUGAUUAAUAGGGAUAGUUGGGGGCAUUAGUAUUCGAUUGUCAGAGGUGAAAUUCUUGGAUUUAUUGAAGACUAACUACUGCGAAAGCAUUUGCCAAGGAUGUUUUCAUUAAUCAAGAACGAAAGUUAGGGGAUCGAAGACGAUCAGAUACCGUCGUAGUCUUAACCAUAAACUAUGCC
rnacentral:rRNA from 1 species